GAUGAACGCUGGCGGCGUGCCUAAUACAUGCAAGUCUAGCGAACGGACGAGAAGCUUGCUUCUCUGAUGUUAGCGGCGGACGGGUGAGUAACACGUGGAUAACCUACCUAUAAGACUGGGAUAACUUCGGGAAACCGGAGCUAAUACCGGAUAAUAUUUUGAACCGCAUGGUUCAAAAGUGAAAGACGGUCUUGCUGUCACUUAUAGAUGGAUCCGCGCUGCAUUAGCUAGUUGGUAAGGUAACGGCUUACCAAGGCAACGAUGCAUAGCCGACCUGAGAGGGUGAUCGGCCACACUGGAACUGAGACACGGUCCAGACUCCUACGGGAGGCAGCAGUAGGGAAUCUUCCGCAAUGGGCGAAAGCCUGACGGAGCAACGCCGCGUGAGUGAUGAAGGUCUUCGGAUCGUAAAACUCUGUUAUUAGGGAAGAACAUAUGUGUAAGUAACUGUGCACAUCUUGACGGUACCUAAUCAGAAAGCCACGGCUAACUACGUG
rnacentral:rRNA from 1 species